rnacentral:tRNA from 1 species
AGGGAUGUAGUUUAGUGGUAAAGCAUUUGCCUAGCAUUCAUAAGGCCCUGGGUUCAAUCCCUAGCACUA